rnacentral:lncRNA from 1 species
GACUUAGGAUUUGAGCAUCUUUCUGUUAUGCUGUUGCCCCACUCCUAUUGCAAUACUCCCCUUCUUAAGAAAGUUUUUCUAGACUAAUGUCUAGAUUAAACUUCUUUUCUUUGACAAUAAUGAUGCCAUGACUUGGACAAAAUGCCCAUUGCCUCUGGGUCCUGCUUUCUUCACCCAGUGCUGCCUUAUUGGACUCCUUGUGCCUCUCCUUGGCUGGGGAAAUCAGAAUACACAGUGGUAUCCCACUUCUAAGAUGCCUGAUCUGAAGGACAGUAAAACAACUGACCUUUGCCAGCAUGUAAAACACAUGGUUUAACUAGUCCUCCAGGAACAACACUGAGCAAUCCUGACCUGGGACUACUUUACUCGGCCAUCUCCUACUUGAGAUGCUCCUUGUCUCUCUGUUCAAGGACACCUUUUCUGAGCCUUUCUUGAACAAGAGUGGAGGACCGAUAGGGCGAUUAAACUGUCCUUGACACAACUUUAGAGCUUCAACUGAGAAUCUAGAAGAGAGUAGAUGGAAAAAUAUUUUUCCCUCCCCUCCAAAUGCAAGGAUAAUCUUACACGAGUCCAGGAGGAAGGCUCAUUCCACACUAAGUGUUCUGAAUCAAAAAGAUGAACAAAAUACAGUGCCAUUCUUCAAGGACUUCACAGUCUACAGGAAAGGGAUAUAGUUAAACAAAUAACUGCAGAAUUGGAAAUUGGAGCUGAUGUGCUUAGAAGUGUUUUGAACAAGGGGCAUGACUGUGACUCUCUCUGCUUUUGCAAGCUUCAGGAAAACCUUUACUCACAGUUGAAAAUACAGAGCCUCAGGGUGAAGCCCUAACUUCCCACAGCAGAUGGGGUCUAUGAGGAGGAAGAAGUAGACGCAUGGACCAGUCCUGUUAUGAAGACAAGUUUCAUGGUGCUACUCUGUCUCCAUGAGCUCCUAUGGCCCAGAAGCUGGCAUCCUGUGAGUGGUACUACUAGAAGGAAGUGUGGUGUUCCUGCAAUGAAUGAGCACAAGAGUUAAAGAAACUAUUGUGGUGCAGAAAACCACCACUCCACAUAUCCUUGGACACUGAAGCAACCCAUCUGCAAUCAUUGGACUAGGUAUUAGCACAAUCAAAAUAGACAUUUCCUUCCUGAAUAAACCUGAUUAAUGGCUUAA